CUGUAACUGUUUUACUGUUAUGAAUUAUAAUGUAAACACUUAUCUGAUUGAUAGGUGCUAUGUGAUCCCUACUGGGGUCACGUCCCACGGGUCGAAAACCAGUGAGUUAAAAGCUCAUACAUUUUGCUAUGGUAGCUGUUUAUGUCUUUAGCGCAUGCGUACGUAGGGAAGCAGACUUUGUAAGCACGCCACCUAAGUUUUCUGCUCUGAUGAAUGCGUGUUCUGUCAGUCAGAGAGUCCAGAGUCUGUCUUAUAAUGAGAUGCAGGGUAACACUUUGGAGGCAUAUGGUGUCCCAUUGAAAUGACAAGAAACAGUGGAAACUGCAAAUGGAAUUAAAACCGAGCGUCAGCGUGAGAUGGUUGGUCGUUAAUGUGUUAACUCCCCGAGGUAUUGCUCCAUCCUAAACACUUAGGAAAGGCUAUCAAUCUGAUCACUUGUUUGGCAACUUUUUGGAUCUUUUAGAGAUGACAUCAGUGUAAUGGUUUUAUUUGUCAUCAGCGUGGAGACCCUGAGAAAUCUUCUCAGGUUGCGAACAGCAGUUACUGUUUACGGAAGACUUGACGGGUGCCAUGUUUAGCAGGAAUUUCCUCAGUCAGUGUGAUGACUCUGCGGUAGGCAUUUCGAGCACAUCCCGUUUGCAUGGAAGAAUCUGUCAGAAGGGGUCAAAAGCUUGUUUUAGAUUGUACGUCUGACAGGUGGUGAAAAUUAGAAAAAUAACUGAAAUCCCGGUUCACCAAUUCUUCCCCUGGUAUGUGAGUACAGCAACAGUGCCGAUCUGAUGGGAACGUGUGAGAGGGACUAACUUAGCUUCUGGAAGUAACUAUGACUUUUAUUAAAUAGGUAUUCCAUAAUUAUUGAUUUUAUUGUAUUAUAUGUGUUAGAGUAUUUUCUAUCAAAUGCAAGGAAAUAUGUAAGCCUUAUAAGUAUUUCCAUGUCAAACUUUUUGAAUUGAUAUCUCUUGUGAAUUGAAUUUAUUAUCUCUUGUGAGAAUAUCAUUAAAGCAUGUGCAUUGAUGUGUGAAAUUAUACCUAUUUUGCUUUUAAUCUAAAAC
ensembl:lncRNA